GGGGGCAACCCUGAUCCAGCCAUGCCGCGUGCGGGAAGAAGGCCUUCGGGUUGUAAACCGCUUUUGGUCGGGAAGAAAGGGCACCUCCUAAUACGGGGUGUUGUUGACGGUACCGGCAGAAUAAGCACCGGCUAACUACGUGCCAGCAGCCGCGGCAAUACGUAGGGUGCGAGCGUUAAUCGGAAUUACUGGGCGUAAAGCGUGCGCAGGCGGUUUGCCAAGUCUGAUGUGAAAGCCCCGGGCUCAACCUGGGAACGGCAUUGGAAACUGGCAGGCUGGAGUGUGGCAGAGGGGGGUGGAAUUCCACGUGUAGCAGUGAAAUGCGUAGAGAUGUGGAGGAACACCGAUGGCGAAGGCAGCCCCCUGGGCCAACACUGACGCUCAGGCACGAAAGCGUGGGGAGCAAACAGGAUUAGAUACCCUGGUAGUCCACGCCCUAAACGAUGGCAACUAGGUGUUGGGGAAGCGAUUCCUUGGUACCGUAGCUAACGCGUGAAGUUGCCCGCCUG
rnacentral:rRNA from 1 species